rnacentral:rRNA from 1 species
UACGGGGGGGGCAAGCGUUGUUCGGAAUUACUGGGCGUAAAGGGUCUGUAGGUGGCUUGCUAAGUCAGACGUGAAAUCCCUCGGCUUAACCGGGGAACUGCGUCUGAUACUGGCGAGCUUGAGUGCAGGAGAGGAACGCGGAAUUCCAGGUGUAGCGGUGAAAUGCGUAGAUAUCUGGAGGAACACCGGUGGCGAAGGCGGCGUUCUGGACUGCAACUAACACUGAGGGACGAAAGCCAGGGGAGCAAACGGG